rnacentral:rRNA from 1 species
UACGUAGGGUGCGAGCGUUAAUCGGAAUUACUGGGCGUAAAGCGUGCGCAGGCGGUUUGUUAAGACAGAUGUGAAAUCCCCGGGCUUAACCUGGGAACUGCAUUUGUGACUGGCAAGCUAGAGUAUGGCAGAGGGGGGGUAGAAUUCCACGUGUAGCAGUGAAAUGCGUAGAGAUGUGGAGGAAUACCGAUGGCGAAGGCAGCCCCCCUGGGCCAAUACUGACGCUCAUGCACGAA